GGAAACCGAACCACUCCAAGCUAUGUUGCCUUUACUGAUACCAAACGAUUGAUUGGUGAUGCUGUGAAGAAUCAAGUUGCAAUGAAUACCACCAACAUGGUUUUUGAUGCCGAAUGUCUGAUCGGAUGCAGAUUUGAUGCUGCUGUUGUCCAGCCUGAUAUGAAGCACUGGCCCUUUGUGGUGGUGGAUGAUGCAGGCAGGCCCAAGGUCCAAGUAGAAUACAAGAGAGAGACAAAAAGUUUCCAUCCCGAGGAGGUGUCAUCUAUGGUUCUGACUAAGGUGAAGGAAAUCGCAGAAGCCUAUCUUGGAAAGACUGUUACCAAUGCUGUGGUCACAGGCCCAGCUUACUUUAAUGACUCUCAGCGUCAGGGUACCAAAGAUGCUGGAACUAUUGCUGGUCUCCAUGUUCUUAGGACUAUAAAUGAACCCACUGCUGCUGGUAUUGCUUAUGGCUUAGACACAAAGGUUGGAGCCGACAGAAAUGUGCUGAUCUUUGAAGUGGGAGGUGGCACUUUUGAUUUGUCAAUCCUCACUAUUGAGGAUAGAAUCUUUAAGGUCAAAUCUACAGCUGGAGAUACACACUUAGGUGGAGAAGACUUUGACAACCGAAUACUCAACCAUUUUAUUGCUGAAUAAAGCGCAAGCAUAAGAAGGACAUCAGUGAGAAUAAGAGAGCUGUCCGACGCCUCCGUACUGCUUGUGAACAUGCUGAGCGUGCCCUGUCUUCCAGCACCCAGGCCAGCAUUGAGAUUGAGUCACUUUACGAAGGAGUCGACUUCUAUACCUCCAUUACCCAUGCCCGAUUUGAAGAAUUGAAUGCUGAUCUGUUCCGUGGCACUCUGGACCCUGUAGAGAAAGCCCUUCGAGAUGCCAAACUAGACAAGUCACAGAUUCAUGACAUUGUCCUGGUUGGUGGUUCUACCCGCAUCCCCAAGAUUCAAAAGCUUUUGCAAGACUUCUUCAAUGGAAAAGAACUGCAUAAGAGUAUCAACCCUGAUGAGGCCGUUGCUUAUGGUGCAGCUGUCCAGGCGGCCAUCCUGUCUGGAGACAAAUCUGAGAACAUUCCAGAUUUGCUACCCCUGGAUGUCACUCCUCUUUCUUUUGGUAUUGAAACAAUACCAAGAGUUAUGGAGUUAUGGAGUUACGACUGUACUCAUUAAGCGCAAUACUGCUAUUCCUACAAAGCAGACUCAGAUCUCCACUACCUACUCUGACAACCAGCCUGGUGAGCUCGUUCAGGUUUACGAAGGUGAACGUGCCAUGACUAAGGAUAACAAGUGACUUGGCAAGUUUGGACUCACAGGCACACCUCCUGCCCCCGGGGAGUUCCUCAGAUUGAAGUCACUUUUGAUACUGAGGCCAAUGGCAUUCUCAAUGUCUCUGCUGUGGAUAAGAGCACAGGAAAGGAAAAUAAGAUUACCAUCACUAAGGACAAGGGUGGUUUGAGCAAGGAAGACAUUGGACAUAUGGUCCAGGAAGCUGAGAAGUACAAAGCUGAAGAUGAGAAGCAGAGGGACAAAGUGUCAUCAAAGAAUUCAGUUGAAUCCUAUGCAUUCAGCAUGAAAGCAACUGUUGAAGAUGAGAAACUUCAAGGCAAGAUCAAUGAUGAGGACAAACAGAAGAUUCUUGACAAGUGUAAUGAAAUUAUCAACUGGCUUGAUAAGAACCAGACUGCAGAGAAGGAAGAAUUUGAACAUCAGCAGAAGGAGCGGGAGAAAGUCUGCAACCCCAUCAUUACCAGCUGAACCAGAGUGCAGGAGGCAUGCCUGGGGGCUUCCCAGGUGGUGGGGCCCCACCACUGAAGAGGCUGAUUAAGCCAACCCAAGCAUAGAUGCAGCAGUGUGCCACACAGUACACACAUUGAAGGAUCUAAAUUUGUACCAAAUUAUGUGGCAGAUUUAAAGUUGAGCUGCUAUAGCAAAUUACUGGGCACUCUC